GGCCGGGGCUGGGAAUGCAAUCCCCGGGAGCCCGCCUAGUGAACUUCCCCGCCCUUCCUUCCCGCUUUGGAACAGGCCUUUCACCUCUAUUCGCCUUCUCCGCCCAUCCCUAAGCUACAAGGAUAACACGAGGAUGGAAAGCCAAGCCCUGGCUCUGGCUAAGUUUUCUGGUCGUAGAAGCCAGCUGAAGACUACGAAAAAGGACCGGCGAGCGGUGUCCUUGGUGACUCGGGUGUGCAGAGAGGCGUGCUCUGGCAGCUGGGCAGGUUACAGUCAUUUUCCAAAAACUUGGGAGACUAGACCGUCCUGGUUUUCAUUGGUGAAGGGAGCUCGGAGAGAUUAAGGCAAAGAAAGGAGAGAAACCGGAACUCGACCUGCGCUGGGUGCAUUGCCGAGUUCAAGCCCUUUACAACCCCAGAAUGUGCUGGGCAGGAAGUUUUCCGGUUCUCAGGCGCGCCCCUGCUCGGUUGCAGUUUCACUCUUCUAGGAUUGCAGCAGUUCCCUGGUGCCAAAAAAAGAUGCGGAAGUUAAGGAUAAAGGAUAAACUGUAGAGUCCCAGGCUUGAAGUGUAAAAGGCCACCAUUUACCCUCCCGGAAAAAAGAUACCCACGGGGCUGAUUAAUUCAUAAGGUUCCUUUCAUCCCCCUCCUGAUGAUGAAAUGCUUGUGGAUUUGGGGAGACAUAGAAAAAAGAGAUCAUGGCCAGAAGACAGCACCUUCAAAUUUAUUAAUAAAAACUCAAAAAAUAUAUAUUUUGGACAAUUUUUUUUCUAUAACAUAGUUCAGUUUCAACAUACAAUUAAAGAUUGUCAAAGUUAUUGUAUAGAGGAAAGGAGAAACUUCAAGAUAAAGUAUUUUGACUACAGAACAAAAAUAGAUGUGAGACAUCAAGACUGGUGCUGGAGUUCUCCAUACUUGGUCUCGGGCAGGACUGUGCUCAG